rnacentral:rRNA from 1 species
GACGAACGCUGGCGGCGUGCCUAAUACAUGCAAGUAGAACGCAGUUGCGAACGGGUGAGUAACGCGUAGGUCACUGCCUCAUAGCUGGGGAUAACUAUUGGAAACGAUAGCUAAUACCGCAUACUGUGAGCUGGACCUGCGUUGUAUUAGGUAGUUGGUGAGGUCAAGGGCCACCAAGGCGACGAUACCUAGCUGAACUGAGAGGGUGUUCGGCCACACUGGGACUGAGACACGGCCCAGACUCCUACGGGAGGCAGCAGUAGGGAAUCUUCGGCAAUGGACGGAAGGCUGACCGAGCAAAGACGGGUGAGUUAAGAAGGUUUUCGGAUCGUAAAGCUCUGUUGUUAGAGAAGCGGUAACUAACAAGAAAGGGACGGCUAACUACGUGCCAGCCGCCGCGGUAAUUC